GACGAACGCUGGCGGCGUGCUUAACACAUGCAAGUCGAACGGUAAGGCCCUUCGGGGUACACGAGUGGCGAACGGGUGAGUAACACGUGGGUGAUCUGCCCUGCACUUCGGGAUAAGCCUGGGAAACUGGGUCUAAUACCGGAUAGGACCACUGCCUGCAUGGGUGGUGGUGGAAAGCUUUUGCGGUGUGGGAUGGGCCCGCGGCCUAUCAGCUUGUUGGUGGGGUGAUGGCCUACCAAGGCGACGACGGGUAGCCGGCCUGAGAGGGUGACCGGCCACACUGGGACUGAGAUACGGCCCAGACUCCUACGGGAGGCAGCAGUGGGGAAUAUUGCACAAUGGGCGCAAGCCUGAUGCAGCGACGCCGCGUGAGGGAUGACGGCCUUCGGGUUGUAAACCUCUUUCAGCACCGACGAAGCGCAAGUGACGGUAGGUGCAGAAGAAGGACCGGCCAACUACGUGCCAGCAGCCACGGUAAAAC
rnacentral:rRNA from 1 species